rnacentral:rRNA from 1 species
CAAAGGAAGCGAUUCCGGCGGGGGAUGGGCAUGCGGCGCAUUAGCUAGUCGGCGGGGUAACGGCCCACCGAGGCGACGAUGCGUAGGGGUUCUGAGAGGAAGGUCCCCCACACUGGUACUGAGACACGGACCAGACUCCUACGGGAGGCAGCAGUGAGGAAUAUUGGUCAAUGGGCGGGAGCCUGAACCAGCCAAGUCGCGUGAGGGAAGACGGUCCUAUGGAUUGUAAACCUCUUUUGCCGGGGAGCAACGGGGUCCUUGCGAGGGCCUGAUGAGAGUACCCGGAGAAAAAGCAUCGGCUAACUCCGUGCCAGCAGCCGCGGUAAUACGGAGGAUGCGAGCGUUAUCCGGAUUUAUUGGGUUUAAAGGGUGCGUAGGCGGGCUGUUAAGUCAGCGGUCAAAUGUCGGGGCUCAACCCCGGCCUGCCGUUGAAACUGGUGGCCUCGAGUGGGCGAGAAGUAUGCGGAAUGCGUGGUGUAGCGGUGAAAUGCAUAGAUAUCACGCAGAACUCCGAUUGCGAAGGCAGCAUACCGGCGCCCGACUGACGCUGAGGCACGAAAGCGUGGGUAUCGAACAGGAUUAGAUACCCUGGUAGUCCACGCAGUAAACGAUGAAUGCUAGCUGUCCGGGGCUUCGGUCCUG